GAGACCCGGGAGGAACGUCGAGCGGUGGAGAGGAGCCCGGGGUGGGACCAUACAACCGGAUACACACGCACACACCGGAACGCUUUUUUACCUGACGUUUUUACAGGUUUUAAACGUGAACGUCGAAGAGUGUAAGGGGGGCAAAGCGGCUGUCUCGUUGGGGUUAAAGCUGUGUGUCGUCGAAACCUCUGGAACUGACAGAGAAAAUGAUUGAGAGUUAAGGUGUGGCUGAGGAUUUUUUUUUUCCCCCUAAAGGUUACAGGACUGAAAAUGUUACCAAACCCAGCUGGCUUCUAAAAAUGCAUUCAUUAUGUAAUAGCCUAAUAAUUUUUAAAAAACCACGCAUAACAGAUUUCAGGGACUGAGAUACAUGUUGAUAUGCGCACCUCUUUAUCGCUCAAGUCCCGCACGGCAGCUGUGAUUAACCGGGACUGUUGCGUAGUUAAGAAGUGUGUGUCCUGUCAUUUGCUUCGGACUGCUGCGUUUGCAAGUGAGAUGUGUGACAGACGUGGCAACUUUUCUGCUGUCAACCCCGCUCAAUAUGACUAACUUGGCAGCACGAAUUUCGCAUUUUAUUACAACAGUAGGACUUGUGUGCGCCACGGACGAACUAAUGGUCUGACCUGUGUUAAAAGUAAGUGCGUCUGUCCAGAAGAUUUGAGAGACUUUUUAAUGAAUAUGUGGAAUUGAUAAUCAGAAGGCUAAUUAAAGAACAUUUAAUUUGUGUAUUUUCUACUAUUGAAAUCCCCCCUCAAAAAAUGCUAAAAAAAAAAUACAUGUAUUUUUUGUGCCUUUUUUUCCUACUGUCAAGAGACACGAACCGGGUGUAUCCCGAACAAGGCUCGCUGCUGAUUACAGCCACAGAGGAAGUAGAAGUUGCUCUAUUUGACAGUUGUCCUGUGAGAGCCUCGGCAGUGCACAGGUCCGGCUGACCCCGCGUUAGUCGUGUGGGAAGCACACAGAGUGCAUUCCUCAAGGCCCCACCCUUUGCAGCGCAACAUGGAUGUGAAGAGUUGCCCCCACCGCCUCCCUCUCUUCCUCCUCCUGGUUUCUCUCUCACUCCCCUCCGCGCCAUUCAUUUCCUCUUUUCAAGCUUGUCUUCUGCUGAUUUUUUUUUUUUUUCCCCUCAGUAUCUCCAGGUGCCCGCUGCAGACCUCAACCAGGCACAGUCCCGGAUCCUCUUCCAGAAAUCUACAGUUGUAUUUGACUGAUGAAGGUUCUGAGACACGUUGCUGCUCGCUGGAAGCUCUGCGCUCAUUGGCUGACCCACAGCAGUUCUUCACUGGCAAGCUUUAUGUUCUCAUGUACCAGCUAAAGCUGCCAGCUGAAGAACUGUUGUGGUCAGCUGUUCCCCUGCCUCCAAGAUCGGCACGUUUCCAGGAGCGAAACGGAGAUAAUGACAGAAUAAAAUCUCAGCACCGAGUCAGAGAACCAUGUCACUUAUGCAGCAUGUUCACGUGCUCAAAUUCGCACCGUGACACCUGCUGUAUCAUGUAACGAAAGUAUUGCAUCACGGAAGACCUCUGUCACUCUGGGUUAGUUUUCUAUUUCUUUUUUUUUCUUUUUUUUUGCUGGGCAUGAGCUUCAUAGGGUUUUUAUUUUUUAAUGAAAUGUUUUUUUACAUCUACCUAUAAAAUAUCGAGAUUAAUUGCAACUAGCUUGCAUCAUCAUGCUGUCGUAUGUGCCUCUUUUUUUUUCCCUGGAUAAGGUUAGGUUGCAAUUUGAAAUUCCAAUGUGUAGAUUUUUAUUCAGAAUUUUACUUGUGAAAUGUUUUAAUUUGUUUAUUGUGGAAGAUAUAUGGCAUCUCUGAAGAAUCAAAGCUCAAGUAACUAACAUUUAUGCUUACAAUGGUGAUUAACUCAGAAAUACUUGUGCUAACUUCUGAAGUAGUUUCAGUUUCGAUGGGACAAUUGUAUAACUUUCCUUGAAUCAUUUCUGCUUUGAAAGCUGUAAAAUGCAAAGGAAUGCAUAGAAAAUAAAGACUGAGUGGUGUCUUG